rnacentral:sRNA from 2 species
AUGUACCACUCGUACACUCCGGUUCCUCCGCGCCGUCCGCACCCACCUGACGACUGCUCGCUACGUUUUGUUAGCC